GAUUAUUGUAGCACAAAAGGUUUCACUACAUCAUUCUCCAAUUUGAGUGCCAACUCAAUUCUGUUUGAUGAUGGUGAUAAUGCCUGUCUAUCGUGUUUUGGUUUGAUGAAAGAGAGUGAGGAUGGUCAGACAACAUCAGUUGAUCAAUUCACAAGUGUGGCUUACAAAUUUGGUUGCGUCCUCUUAAACUUGCUUACAGGAAAGGAGUACCUUGAUCAUGCGGCGAUGGUACAUGGAC